UGUCUAUGCCUUUCGGGGGGGCAUUUCCUCCCUAGUCUUUGGCCGCGCUCGUAUCGUUCGGGCGCGGUUCUUUUUAUCUGCG
rnacentral:sRNA from 1 species